UGGGAGAGGACGCCGGUGGGCGGGGGGAAGGAGGCGGCCCUAGCGCCAUUUUGUGGGAGCGAAGCGGUCGCUGGGCUGCGCUUGGGUCCGUCGCUGCCUCGGUGUCCCUGUCGGGCUUCCCAGCAGCGGCCUAGUGGAAAAGUAAAAGAUGUCUGAAUAUAUUCGGGUAACCGAAGAUGAGAACGAUGAGCCCAUUGAAAUACCAUCGGAAGACGAUGGGACGGUGCUGCUGUCCACGGUCACAGCCCAGUUUCCAGGGGCGUGUGGGCUUCGCUACAGGAAUCCAGUGUCUCAAUGUAUGAGAGGUGUCCGACUGGUAGAAGGAAUUCUGCAUGCCCCCGAUGCUGGCUGGGGAAAUCUGGUUUAUGUUGUCAACUAUCCGAAAGAUAACAAAAGAAAAAUGGAUGAGACAGAUGCUUCAUCAGCAGUGAAAGUGAAAAGAGCAGUCCAGAAAACAUCCGAUUUAAUAGUGUUGGGUCUCCCAUGGAAAACAACUGAACAGGACCUGAAAGAGUAUUUUAGUACCUUUGGAGAAGUUCUUAUGGUGCAGGUCAAGAAAGAUCUUAAGACUGGUCAUUCAAAGGGGUUUGGCUUUGUUCGUUUUACGGAAUAUGAAACACAGGUGAAAGUAAUGUCACAGCGACAUAUGAUAGAUGGACGAUGGUGUGACUGUAAACUUCCUAAUUCUAAGCAAAGCCAAGAUGAGCCUUUGAGAAGCAGAAAAGUGUUUGUGGGGCGCUGUACAGAGGACAUGACUGAAGAUGAGCUGCGGGAGUUCUUCUCUCAGUACGGGGAUGUGAUGGAUGUCUUCAUCCCCAAGCCGUUCAGGGCCUUUGCCUUUGUUACAUUUGCAGAUGAUCAGAUUGCGCAGUCUCUUUGUGGAGAGGACUUGAUCAUUAAAGGAAUCAGCGUUCAUAUAUCCAAUGCCGAACCUAAGCACAAUAGCAAUAGACAGUUAGAAAGAAGUGGAAGAUUUGGUGGUAAUCCAGGUGGCUUUGGGAAUCAGGGUGGAUUUGGUAAUAGCAGAGGGGGUGGAGCUGGUUUGGGAAACAAUCAAGGUAGUAAUAUGGGUGGUGGGAUGAACUUUGGUGCAUUCAGCAUUAAUCCAGCCAUGAUGGCUGCUGCCCAGGCAGCACUACAGAGCAGUUGGGGUAUGAUGGGCAUGUUAGCCAGCCAGCAGAACCAGUCAGGCCCAUCGGGUAAUAACCAAAGCCAAGGCAACAUGCAGAGGGAGCCAAACCAGGCCUUCGGUUCUGGAAAUAACUCUUAUAGUGGUUCUAAUUCUGGUGCAGCAAUUGGUUGGGGAUCAGCAUCAAAUGCAGGGUCGGGCAGUGGUUUUAAUGGAGGCUUUGGCUCAAGCAUGGAUUCUAAGUCUUCUGGCUGGGGAAUGUAGGCAGUGGGGUUGUGGUUGGUGGUAUAGAAUGGUGGGAAUUCAAAUUUUUCUAAACUCAUGGUAAGUAUAUUGUAAAAUACGUAUGUACUAAGAAUUUUCAAAAUUGGUUUGUUCAGUGUGGAGUAUAUUCAGCAGUAUUUUUGACAUUUUUCUUUAGAAAAAGGAAGAGCUAAAGGAAUUUUAUAAGUUUUGUUACAUGAAAGGUUGAAAUAUUGAGUGGUUGAAAGUGAACUGCUGUUUGCCUGAUUGGUAAACCAACACACUACAAUUGAUAUCAAAAGGUUUCUCCUGUAAUAUUUUAUCCCUGGACUUGUCAAGUGAAUUCUUUGCAUGUUCAAAAUGGAAACCAUUGAUUAGAACUACAUUCUUUACCCCUUGUUUUAAUUUGAACCCCACCAUAUGGAUUUUUUUCCUUAAGAAAAUCUCCUUUUAGGAGAUCAUGGUGUCACAGUGUUUGGUUCUUUUGUUUUGUUUUUUAACACUUGUCUCCCCUCAUAUACAAAAGUACAAUAUGAAGCCUUCAUUUAAUCUCUGCAGUUCAUCUCAUUUCAAAUGUUUAUGGAAGAAGCACUUCAUUGAAAGUAGUGCUGUAAAUAUUCUGCCAUAGGAAUACUUCUGUCUACAUGCUUUCUCAUUCAAGAAUUCGUCAUCACGCAUCACAGGCCGCGUCUUUGACGCCCUGAAUGCAAAGAAUUCAUAGCAGUUAAUUCCCCUUUUUUGACCCUUUUGAGAUGGAACUUUCAUAAAGUUUCUUGGCAGUAGUUUAUUUUGCUUCAAAUAAACUUAUUUGAAAAGUUGUCUCAAGUCAAAUGGAUUCAUCACCUGUCAUGCAUUGACACCUGAUACCCAGACUUAAUUGGUAUUUGUUCUUGCAUUGGCCAAAGUGAAAAGUUUUUUUUUUGUUUUGUUUUUGUUUUUUGUUUUUGUUUUUUUUUCUUUUGAAAUCUAGUUUUGAAUAAGUCUGGGUGACCGCACCUAAAAUGGUAAGCAGUACCCUCCGGCUUUUUCUUAGUGCCUCUGUGCAUUUGGGUGAUGUUCUAUUUACAUGGCCUGUAUAAAUCUCCAUUGGGAAAUCAUUCCUUCUAAAAAGAUUAUUUGGGAGAGUGGGCAAAAUGUUGAUUAUUUUCUAAUGCUUUGUAGCAAAGCAUAUCAAUUGAAAAGGGAGUAUCAGUACCUUCCUAGUUUGAGAUUUGAAAAGUGGAAUUAAUUGCAAUAGGGAUAAAGUAGAAGAAACCACAAAUUAUCUUGUGCCUGAAAUCCAUUAAGAGGCCUGAUAGCUUUAAGAAUUAGGGUGGGUUGUCUGUCUGGAAGUGUUAAGUGGAAUGGGCUUCGUCCUCCAGGAGGUGGGGGAAUGUGGUAACAUUGAAUAAAGUUGAAUAAAAUCACUUACAAAACUCAGACUCUCACAAUGCAUUGUUAAGUAUGUAAAAGCAAUAACAUUGAUUCUCUGUUGUACUUUUUUGUAACUAAUUCUGUGAGAGUUGAGCUCAUUUUCUAGUUGGAAGAAUGCGACAUUUGUUGUGUUAGUAGUUAAUGCCCUUACCUAAUUAGAUUAUGAUAAAUAGGUUUGUCAUUUUGCAAGUUACGUGUUUUAAACAUUUAUAAAUGAAGUCAUCCUUUAGACUUGUAAUCGCCACAUUGUUUCGUUAUUUGGUUUCCUCUGUAAAGGGAUCUUGAGUUGUUUUAAUUUUUUUUUUAAUCUGCAUCUAAAUCUGCAUGAUUUCCAAACCCUGUACCAUCUGAAUUUUGCAUUUUAGCACUUGCACUAUUACUCAGCAGCAGUAACAUGGUAACACUUAAAAUGGUACUCGGGGACCUCCAAAGACUAAACUGACAAGCCUUCAAGAAGCCCAGGGGUAAGUUAACUUGUCGACGGCAUGGUUUAAUCCCUUCUUUACACUUGUGUAAAUUUCAGUUACUGGUCUUAGAAGGCUUUCAAUGUUGAGUAGCCUUUUAUUAACAUGUUUAUGGUACUGCAUAGAUACGGGUAUUUAUUUUACCCUAAAAAGAUUUUGAAGUUUAGAAGUACUUAAACUAUUUGGCAAAGAUUUGUUUUUAAAAAUCUAUUUGGUCAUCUAAAUGCAUUCAUUCUAAAAAAUUUUUUGAACCAGCUAAAUAAAAAAUUUUUUUGACACCACA